rnacentral:rRNA from 1 species
CCUACGGGGUGCAGCAGUGAGGAAUAUUGGGCAAUGCACGAAAGUCUGAACCAGCCAAGUAGCGUGAAUGAUGACUGUCCUAUGGGUUGUAAGCUUCUUUUACAUGGGAGUAAAUCCCUCCACGUAUGUGAGUUUGUAUUUACCAUAUGAAUAAGGAUCGGCUAACUCCGCGCCAGCAGCCGCGGUAAUACGGAGGAGCCGAGCGUUGUCCGGAUUGAUUGGGUUUAAAGGGAACGUAAGAGGAUUGGUAAGUCAGUUGUGAAAGUUUGGGGUUCAACCGUAGUAUUGCAAGUGAAACUGUAAUACUUGAGUACAAGAGAGGAGGGCAGAAUUCGUGGUGUAGCGGUGAAAUGCUUAGAUAUCAGGAGGAACACCGAUAGCGAAGGCAGUAAUCUGGACUGAAACUGACGCUGAGGCGCGAAAGUGUGGGUAGCAAACAGGAUUAGAUACCCGAGUAGUC